UACGUAGGGGGCAAGCGUUGUCCGGAAUUACUGGGCGUAAAGCGCACGUAGGCGGCUUUGUAAGUUAGAGGUGAAAGCCCGGGGCUCAACUCCGGAACUGCCUUUAAGACUGCAUCGCUUGAAUCCGGGAGAGGUGAGUGGAAUUCCGAGUGUAGAGGUGAAAUUCGUAGAUAUUCGGAAGAACACCAGUGGCGAAGGCGGCUCACUGGACCGGUAUUGACGCUGAGGUGCGAAAGCGUGGGGAGCAAACAGG
rnacentral:rRNA from 1 species